AUGCGGCUACCCGCACCUGUUUAUAAUCCCCUUGAUCAGCCAGAGCGGGCAACACGGAGGUGGAAACACGCCCUGCCACGCCCCCACGGCUGCACAUAGCGUCGGAAACAUCAGCCUCCCUCACUAUGCAGAACCACCUGGCUACAUCAUCCAGACA